rnacentral:lncRNA from 1 species
GAAUUACCUGUAAAUGCUUAAUAAACAAAUGGUUGAACAGUAAUGAUAUAAGGAUAUUAUUAUUUUAAUUGAUAUAAUAAUGUAAGUAUUACUCUUCGAAGCUUACUACAGUAUAUGAAUACUGAGUCAACUUGCUUGAUAGUGUUUCACACACAACUAUAGUAUAUGAAUACUAAGUUAUAUUGGAAACACAAAUUGUAUUGUAGAGUAAAUGACCAGAUAACUGGAUAUAUUGAUACGCAAGUAAAUGACCAGAUAACUGGAUAUAUUGACAAACAAGUAAGUGACCAGAUAACUGGAUAAGUUGAUAAACAAGUAAGUGACCAGAUAACUGGAUAAAUAUGAUAAGUAAUACUUGAACAAAUAUAAGGAUUUAAAGCAAUGAAUAUAACCUCAGAUAGUUGACCAGAUAACUGGAUGAGGGAUCUACGUAAAGUAGUCAACCUCUGUGUUUGACCAGAUAACUGGAAGAGGGAUCUUUUUAAUUAAGUGUUGUUUUUAAGUAAAAGAUAGAACUAUAAUUAACAGAGAACAACACAAGAGAUUUAUACUGGUUCACCCAAACAAGGGCUAGUCCAGUCCCGACCAACUGCCGGAAUUCACUCGCCUAAAGGUAAUUGCAAAACCUUAAAGUAUAAAGGAAACUCUUAAGAACCUCUCUAAGCUUUAAGGCUACUUCGCUUAGGAACCAGUCUUUUACGGGUAGACUCACACCUUAGAGUAUCAAGGGCACUUUUAAGUGUUGGAUCGUGAUCCGAGGCUAUAGGGGGGGUGAUAGCCUCUUUUCGAUUUAUACAGGUUGAUAGCGGAAUUACCUGUAAACACUUAAUAAACAAAUGGUUGAACAGUAAUGAUAUAAAGAUAUUAUUAUUUUAAUUGAUAUAGUAAUN